rnacentral:rRNA from 1 species
ACGCUCGACACCUACGGGAGGCAGCAGUAGGGAAUCUUCCACAAUGGGCGCAAGCCUGAUGGAGCAACACCGCGUGAGUGAAGAAGGGUUUCGGCUCGUAAAGCUCUGUUGUUGGAGAAGAACGUGCGUGAGAGUAACUGUUCACGCAGUGACGGUAUCCAACCAGAAAGUCACGGCUAACUACGUGCCAGAACGCCGCGGUAAUCUGAGCGGGCUGGCAAGGC